rnacentral:rRNA from 1 species
ACUCCUACGGGAGGCAGCAGUGAGGAAUCUUCCACAAUGGGCGAAAGCCUGAUGGAGCAACGCCGCGUGCAGGAUGAAGGCCUUCGGGUUGUAAACUGCUUUUAUAAGUGAGGAAUAUGACGGUAACUUAUACUC